rnacentral:rRNA from 1 species
UGACCUCGGAUCAGGUAGGGAUACCCGCUGAACUUAAGCAUAUCAAUAAGCGGAGGAAAAGAAACCAACAGGGAUUGCCUUAGUAACUGCGAGUGAAGCGGCAAAAGCUCAAAUUUGAAAUCUGGCGUCUUCGACGUCCGAGUUGUAAUUUGGAGGGGCAUCUUCGGAAUUGGCGCCGUCCUAAGUUCCUUGGAACAGGACGUCAUAGAGGGUGAGAAUCCCGUGCCUGGAUGGCUGUCCAAUUCCAUGUGAAGUGUCUCCGACGAGUC